UACGAAGGGGGCUAGCGUUGUUCGGAAUUACUGGGCAUAAAGGGCGCGUAGGCGGCCUCCAAGUCAGAUGUGAAACGCCCCGGGCUUAACCUGGGAAUUGCAUUUGAGACUGUGGGGCUUGAGUUUCGGAGAGGUGGGUGGAAUUCCCAGUGUAGAGGUGAAAUUCGUAGAUAUUGGGAAGAACACCAGUGGCGAAGGCGGCUCUCUGGUCCGAUACUGACGCUGAGGUGCGAAAGCGUGGGGAGCAAACAGGAUUAGAUACCCCAGUAGU
rnacentral:rRNA from 1 species